UCUUUGGUAGCUCAUCUGAUAGAGCGGAGGACUGUAGUUUGACUCUAGAAAGUAAUCCUUAGGUCGAUGGUUCAAUUCUGGCUCAGAGGA
rnacentral:tRNA from 1 species